GUCGCAUCAGUAUCACGGUGACUCUCGCUCGUUCCCUACGUGAAUUUUGUCGCGACUUGCGAGAAACAUCUUCCGCGAGCUGCCCGUGGUAAUCGUGUUGUAGUACUGUUUUUCGUUUAUUCAGACAAGACGUUGACAAUUAUUUUUCUUUGCGGGUGGAAUAAUGAACAUUACUGUAAUUAUUAUGAAACAUAUGCAAUUACAGAUUUAAAUACUUUAGUGUAGUUUCUCUUUCUCCGAAAUCGGUGUAGCGAAGAGAAGGGUGAAGUUCGUGUGUUGUGUUCCAUUUUAAGUUACUGGUUUGUACAUCUUUAAGGAAACACCUGUAUGUAGAGCCUAUCCCCAUGAUGCUGGUAUUGGAAUGCAAACACCAUAGUAGAAUUAACCGUGUUCCUGUCGCUAGUGGCGAUCCUAGUGUCCUUAACAAGAACAAGUAGAAGCCAUUCGUGUAUGAAAUGAGUGGCUGAAUGUUAAAAACCGUCAUCCUAAAUCUUAUACGUGAGAAAGAUAUCAAGUAAGAAGAAACAGCUAUUAUCAGCCGCCACAAUGGAAACUGAAGAGAUUACCAAACUUGUAGACGGCAUCUAUAAGAAUAUCCUGGACAAAUUCAACCCUGGUGCACGGCAGUUGAUAAAUGCAGGGAAAGCUUACCUGAAGGCUCU